UCUUCUUGUUGGCUGCGGAGGCACAGCCCAAAGGGGGCCCUCUUUUUCAUCUGAUUCUUCAGAAUAGGCCUGCACAGGCUGGCAUGUAGAGGUCACUUGGGAUCACUCUGACCUUUUUUUCUUGUUGUUCUCUUUUAGGUAGUGCCAUUUCCGCUGUAGCAAGGGCAGGAAAGCAAGCUACAGAGCAGGGCCGGCAGCGGGAGUUCGAGCUGCAGCGGCAGAGAGGUGAGCAGAAAAUCCAGCAGCUGCAGCACAUGAUCACUCAGCUGAGAAGGACAAGGGCUGUGACCCCAGAGCCUGGCAGGAGCAUGGUGCUGGGGAAGCUCUUCUCCCUGCCCUGGAGAAGCUUCAGGGGCAUCACAGUCAGCUGGAGAACUUGAGGCAGCAGCUGCUGCAUGUGGCUGGGCUUCUGAGCAGCUUCAUGAACCAAACCCUGAACAGAACAAUCAAUGACUGGACAUCAUCAGAUGAAAAGGCUGCAAUGUCCUUGCUGUUUACUCUGGAGGAAUUGAAAUCAGAAUUGAUGUCAGGCCUCACUCAAUACAAAUCUAUGGACCACAUUGGCCCGUUGCCAAAAGCUGAGAAAGCUGUUUGGAGACAAGAGAAAAUGGCUUCACAAGGCAUGAGGCACAGCAAGUCAGGGAUGGUGAAAGCUGCCUUCAAAAGUGAAACCAGCCAAGGAGGGAGCACAUCUCCCUACAGGAUGGAAAAGUCAUAUCUGCAUUUCCUACCAGCAGAGAGCUCCCUGAAGGCCCUGAUUUAUCAAAACAGCCAGAGAAAAAGUUUAUUAGUGAUAAAUCCUAUAGGCCAAGUGACACCCCUAAGGAGGAGCAAGCAGGAGAAAAGCUCAGUUUUUGAAGCAUGAGAGAUUCUCAGCAUGUGAAUGGGGGCCAGCCUGGAUCUCAUAUACAUUAAGAUGGUGUACCCAGGUUCCUGGCCUUGAAAUGACCCCGCGGACCGUGAGCCAGAGAGCAUCAGGCUGAAUGUGAGACAGCCUCAUAACUGUCUGCCAAAAA